CCUACGGGAGGCAGCAGUGAGGAAUAUUGGUCAAUGGGCGGAAGCCUGAACCAGCCAAGUAGCGUGCAGGAUGACGGCCCUACGGGUUGUAAACUGCUUUUAUACGGGAAUAACGCGCCUUAGUUGGAGGGCUUUGCAUGUACCGUAUGAAUAAGGACCGGCUAAUUCCGUGCCAGAAGCGGCGGUAAAAAGGAAGGUCCGGGGGUAAUCCGGAUUUUUUGGGGUUAAAGGGAGCGUAGGCGGCUGGGCAAGCGUGCUGGGAAAUGUCAGGGCUCAACCCGGGCCUUGCAGCGCGGACUGGCGUGCUGGAGGCCGCGGAAGGCAAGCGGAAUUCGUCGUGUAGCGGUGAAAUGCUUAGAUAUGACGAAGAACCCCGAUUGCGAAGGCAGCUUGCUGCAGCGGAACUGACGCUGAUGCUCGAAAGCGCGGGUAUCGAACAGGAUUAGAUACCCCGGUAGUC
rnacentral:rRNA from 1 species